rnacentral:lncRNA from 1 species
AGAGGCUACAGCUGGAACUACAAUACCCAGGAUGCUCUGGUCAGAGCGCCCAGAGAAGAACUGGACCGGCCGCCAUGUUGGAGCCCUGGAGCUGCGGCGAGCCGAGGUUUCGAGGGGCUCGUGGAGCCGAAAGGUGGCAUGGUGAGAAUGGUGAGGCUAGGAUGUAGAACUUGAUAGCCUCGCGCACCGGCUAGGACUGAACGGAGGCUACACUGGGGACCUUCAGGGCUGUCGAGCCAGAAAUGCCAUCGCGAGUCGGAGUGAACCGCAACCCGCUGGGGUUGCACAAGGCCUCGCCACCCCGGGACACAGGGAGUCGCUUUACUGAGCGUGGAGAAACCCUUAGACUUCCUGGGGAGACUCUCUGGGCAAAAUGUGUCUUUGUUGUGGUGUGGGGACUCGGGACGACGGGCCUCGCGCCUGUAAGACGAAAAGCUCGCGUGCACCCUGUGAGUGGAGCUAAACCUAGGUUAUUUUUAUUUAUUUAUUUUUUGCCUUGUCAUUUUUCUUAAUCCCUCAUGAUCAUUUCCUCAGGUGUCAGACCCCUGCUCCCACCACUGAAUUUUCGUUCGGUCGUGAAUUGCAAAGGGCCUCAAAGAAAUCCUUUGCUAGAUAAUGUGAUCGCGAAGGGUUGUGGAGCUUGGCCCUGAAACUGACAAAGGAAGGAUCUACCAAAAGAAGUUAGCACCUAACCUUUCUUACCCCACCAGCGAACGUAAACGACAUUGAAAAGGGACUGCAAGUGAGCAGUCUUUCUCGACUAACGCUAAAUGAACUGUGCUAAAAUACUGCGUAUAUUCGAAGUUGAUAACUGUGGAAAACUUCCCUUUUCUUUUGUUACCUAUAUUGUGCAAAAUAAUGUGUUUUGUUGUGACAUCUUCGUGCAGAUAACGUUAGUUAACACAUCAUCCCCUUCCCUUAACCACUUGGUACCCUUACCGAUGAAAAUACAUUCAGAAUACUUAAAGAACUUUUGAGCCUAUUUGCUCAGCAUCUCAACACCUUUUCUCCAGUAACUCAAACAGUACUGUGUGUUUGUUUUUCAGGUUCUGAAGUUCACUAUAGAAAGAUGCCAAAAGACCUACUGAGGGUCUCUGAAAAGUUAAAAAUGCUGAUAUGCGUAAUUUGAGUGUUUUAUUUUUCCCCUCCUGAGCUUUUCGAAGGAGAUGGCUAGCUCGGUGGUGAGGAUUCCCACAGCACAGUCAAGACCCUGGAUUGUAUCCCUAGCACUGGUCUGUUUGCAUCAGUGAAAAUAUAUACGGUGCCUCUGUUAGAAAUUAAUAAAGUUCCAGUAGGUCUUCCUUUCAAAAAGCUAGGCAGGCUGCUUUUUAAAUUUCCAAAACACAACAGGAACCUUCAAAGAUAUAUGGAGAUGAUGGUACUUAAAAAGGACGUUUUUUCAAAGAUUGGCUUGUGGUGUGAGAAGCAGCCACAGAAGUGGCAGAUGCCAUUCUUGUGGAUUCAGCAACGUGAAGCCUCAGAAAUACUACGCUCUUCUGCUUGUAAUGUUGGUAAGUACCAGAAGGAACCAAUAGCUACCAUUUUCUUUCUGUCCUUUGAUGGAAAUGUAGAAAUGGUUCAAGCUAAUGAAUCUUUGUUUAUAUGAGCAGUAACCUUCGUUUGAGUUAUGUGGAAGACUGAUUUAUUGAAAGAAAAUAACAGGAUGGGUGAAAAUAGUGUGGAAAAUGGGGGUGAUAUAAUGUAAUGGCUUCUAUAAUUUGUACGUGAUUGAGUACUUUGAAGUAUUUUAGCCUUCUCUAUAGUGGGUAGUCAACCAUAAAUGCAUGGAAAAAAUAUCAGUGUCUUUAGAAAGACUAAAAAUUAAGUCUCAACUUUCACAGGAAAAAAAUUCCAUAUUUAGAAAGUUAAGGGAAAACAUUUUACCAGAAAAAAAAAAAAGUAUCUUUAAGACCUCCUCUUUGAUUAUGGUAAAUACCAUACUCCCCAUUUCUUCAAGUUGGCACAGAUAGGCACACCAUUAGAUUUGCCAAAUAUGGUUUGGGGAGUUUUUAGGGGUUUUUGUCCCCCUCGGAGCAAAUCUUUACUUCAUUUUGGAUAAUAAAAAAACUAAAAUUUUUCGUAGUUUAGGCGUUCUUUCACGUAGAUUUUUGCUGCUGGAUUUCCUGCAUGGCUUAAGGUAAAUGGAACAACUGUCUCUCAAAAUUUGAAAUCUAAAUGACAUCAGAUUUAUAUUAAUUAAUGGCCAUCUAGAAAAGCAAGCUUUAUCUUACCAUCUUAUUUCUCAGAUUUUAGCAGGCUCGGAUAAUUAAAGGGCACUAGAAAACAUGUCUUUGCAAGGAUAUAUGCUGAUAAACUAUAUGUGUUAAUGAAUAUAGCCAUUUCCAGAAAUUUAGGUAUGCAGAGAUGCUCAACUGUAACCAUUUAUGUAAGUAGGUAUACAUUCAUAGUCUUUAAGAAUUUUUGAUGAUGCUGUGUGUGUGUAUAUGGUCUUGUUAUAAACUGUAAUCCUGAGUUGUAUCUCUUUUUUUAUACGCAGCUUUAUUGAAAUGAAAUUCACAUAUGCCCUUCACCUACAUAAAGGGUGCAGUCCAAUGGGUUUUAGUUUGCUCAGAGUUUGGGCAAUCAACACAAUUAUACAAAAAACAAACAAACAACAACAAAAAAAUGCAAAACCAUGCUUGUAAGUAUAAGGAAAUAAUUGGGGAAGGAUUUUUGCCUUCUAAAGUGGUAAUACAAAGCUUAUUGUGGGUAAUAUCUUAGAGUACUUCAAUUACAGUUGCAAUACUGUAAGUAAAUAGCAUGUUCCUUGUAUGUACUAAGUGGCCUUUACUGGAAACAUACUAUUUUGUAACAUAGGUUACUGGCAAUUACGUGUCACAGCACUGUCACAGCUGAGAAUUCUUUAAGAGUGAUGCAUACUUACAUUGAUUGCUUUCUUUUUCUGUAGGAUUAUCAUGCUGGGCAUUAUGCCUUCCUUGACUGUAGUCCCUGAGCCUAGUCCAUGCUCAGUGUUCAUGCUUAGUCUUUCUAAACCUUGGCUUCCUUUUUGCUUUUGAGAGGGUUCCUGAGCUUUUUGUUUCCCAAACUGGCAUUGUUCCCCGUGAAGGCUAAGAUUUGUUAUUUUCAUAAAAACUCCAAAUUAAUAUAGUGAAGAGUCAACACAUUUCAGGGUUUAAGGAAUGAAUGGAAUAGAGAAAAGCAGGUACCAAAUGAAGAGGUUUGAAUCUCUGAAAGAUAAAUGUUUGUAGGGGCAGGCAGAAUUAAAAGGGUUUAUUUUAAAUGUUAGAAGCAACAGCCUACUUACUUUUAAAGAUUUAUAUGCUUGGGUAUUUGCUGUCACGUAUGUGCCUGCUAGGGUGCCCACAGAGGUCAGAAGAGAGCCUCAGAUUGCCCUGGAACUAGAGGUUGUUUUGAGCCGCCAUGUGGAUGUUGGAAACUGAACUUGAUCCUUUGCAAAAGCAACAAGUUCUCUUAACCACUGAGCCGUCUCUAUCCUCGCACAACUUUCUAAAUCCCCUCUUAGAAACUAAAGGCCAGUCCUAACUCAGUGCACAGUGAUCAUGUCCUCAAGGAAUCUGAGGACAUUUAAACUUAAACUCUCCUGGGAAACCCAGCCAAAAAGGCAAAGAAAAGGAUCUCUGAAAUACUUUUACAGUAAUUUUCUUGUAUAAUACCCAGUGGUUUGGGUUUCUUUCUAAAACCCAGCACUGUGGAAGUAGAAACAGGGAAACUGUGACUUGGAGCCCAGCCUGGACUAUGUGGGGAAUUCCUGUCCAACCACAGGAAAUUUUUUCAUUGAAUUCUUUGUCUUUUCAUGAUUGCCAUUUUCUUUCAAGUCUUGGCUGCCUGCAUGACCAAACUUGUGUUUUGUGAAUUUUUUAUGACACUACUCAAAAAAGAAAAGAAAAAAAAA